rnacentral:lncRNA from 1 species
UGUAUCUUCACAGAGUAUUUGCAUCCAAAGAAUAACAGAUCUGUGAAUAAAGAGAUUGUCAGCUUUCCUUUAUUAGCUACAGAUACUCAUAAAGUUGUAGAUUUGUGGGAACCUGUAUUUUCCGUAUAAUGACUAGUCCUGUGUUUUUGUUCCAAAAUGAUGUGUGAGGUGAUGCCCACCAUCAGUGAAGAAGGCCCUUCAGGAGGAAGUGAAAACCAUGGAUCUGGCUGCCCUUCACAACCAGAUGCAGAUUCCCAUUUUGAACAGCACAUGAUGUCCAUGCUAGAAGAAACAGACAUUGCUCAGAGCACACUGAUAGAGACUCAAGAAACAUUGGCGUUGACCCAGGGGAAAUUACUCGAGGUUGGUCAUGAGAGAGAUUCGUUGCAGAGACAACUCAAUACUGCGCUUCCACAGGAGUCUUCAACGCUUGCAAAAGAGCUCAACAUUUGCAGGGAACAGCUGCUUGAGAAGGAAAAAGAAAUUGCUGAACUGAAAGCAGAAAGGAGCAACAUGAGGCUGUUCCUGGAACAUCUGGAGUUCCUUGUCUCCAGGCAUGAACGCUCUCUCGAAACGACUGUGAUGAAGCGGCAGGCGCGGUGUCCUGCAGGAGUGUCCACAGAGAUGGAAGUGCUAAAAGCACUGACAUUCUUAUUUGACCACCACAAGACCCUGGACGAAAAGGUACAUGAGCUACACUAGUGGUUCUGGGUUCUUACACUUGCUGGGUUCAUGGCAGACUUUGCAUGUGUUUGUUUACCUUUAAGGUUUGCUAAGUUUUUGAGUUCUUGUAAACAGACUUUCUGUAUUAAAAGGCAAUGUUCUGCAUAAUCAACAAACACUAACUGGAAUGUGAGUCUUCAAUUGAUUAUUUCUGAAUAUUGACUGCCCAUUAAGAACUGGAUAGUGUUCAUUUAUUUAGGAACAAGAGUUUCCCGGCCUUAAUAUUUAAAGCCAUUAACAAGGACAUUUUCUUGACAGUACUAGCAAUGAAAGACAUUGAAAGUACUUUAUUAUAUGCCUUUCAUCAAUAUCAGGAUAACUAUAUGGAAAGUGUGCGUAUGCAUAUAAAAACUCAACUCUUUUCAGGUGCGAGAGCAAUUACGUGUAGCACUGCAAAGGUGCAGCUUGCUGGAAGAGGAACUGGGCGCUACGCACAAGGAGGUAAUUGUGGGACAUCAUCCUAGCCCUGAAAAGGGAAAAUUAUUUUAUUUUAAUCUCUUAAAAAACAGUGUGAAGCCUGUAAUACUAUUGGAUUAGAUUUUUAUUUCAGAUUGCAAGAAUCUCUAAAUUUGUUGUCAAGCAGUCAGUACAUUCUGUUUCUAGUAAUCUGGUUCUGCUAUGGAUGGUCAGCUUUGGCAUGUACUGUCUUUUUUAUACUAUGUUCAGCACUGUAGAAUUAUGUUUUUCCAAAUGGAAUUUUGCUGUCUUUACUCAUUACUCUUCCAUAAGUUAUUGUAGUCUCAUACUCAGUUUUUGAUUGUAGCUAAUGACUCUUAAAAAACAGAAUGAUCAGAAAAAAUCACCAAGAGAUGGAGUGCUUGACCAUGAAGAAGAAGAAACACCAAGCACUAGUGGAAAGGUAAGUCCUUGAGAUCUCUCUUUGUUCUGUUGCUGAUUUCUUAUAUUUUGUGGUUCGUGUGUGAUGCUGUUUGGAUGCUGUUGCUGGAAUGGCCUGCUUCCAGCUAAAGUGAUUGUUGAGAGUCCUAUCAUCCAACAGAUGGCAUAAAUCCAUUUUGAUAGUCCCUAUGUUCAAAAGUAUUUUAUUUGGUAGUACACUAAGGUUAUUUAAGAGUGUCCAUUUUACCCAUCAGAGAUCUUCUGCUGGCUCCUUAAGCCAUGAGGAAGACCUUGCCAAAAUAAUUGUGCUCCAAGAAGUCAUACACAAACAUUCAAAAGAGCAG